rnacentral:rRNA from 1 species
CGUGAGCAAUCUGCCCAUAUCUGGGGGAUAACAGUUGGAAACGACUGAUAAUACCGCAUAAUAUCAUUUGAAGGCAUCUUCGUUUGAUCAAAGAUUUAUCGGAUAUGGAUGAGCUCGCGUCUGAUUAGCUUGUUGGUGAGGUAACGGCUCACCAAGGCGACGAUCAGUAGCCGACCUGAGAGGGUGAUCGGCCACAUUGGAACUGAGACACGGUCCAAACUCCUACGGGAGGCAGCAG